rnacentral:rRNA from 1 species
AGUGAACGCUGGCGGUAGGCCUAACACAUGCAAGUCGAACGGCAGCACAGUAAGAGCUUGCUCUUACGGGUGGCGAGUGGCGGACGGGUGAGGAAUACAUCGGAAUCUACUUUUUCGUGGGGGAUAACGUAGGGAAACUUACGCUAAUACCGCAUACGACCUACGGGUGAAAGCAGGGGAUCUUCGGACCUUGCGCGAUUGAAUGAGCCGAUGUCGGAUUAGCUAGUUGGCGGGGUAAAGGCCCACCAAGGCGACGAUCCGUAGCUGGUCUGAGAGGAUGAUCACCCACACUGGAACUGAGACACGGUCCAUACUCCUACGGGAGGCAGCAGUGGGGAAUAUUGGACAAUGGGCGCAAGCCUGAUCCAGCCAUACCGCGUGGGUGAAGAAGGCCUUCGGGUUGUAAAGCCCUUUUGUUGGGAAAGAAAAGCAGCAGGUUAAUACCCCGCGGUUCUGACGGUACCCAAAGAAUAAGCACCGGCUAACUUCGUG